AGCCCCGGCUAACUACGUGCCAGCAGCCGCGGUAAUACGUAGGGGGCAAGCGUUGUUCGGAAUGACUGGGCGUAAAGGGUGUGUAGGCGGUGUAGCAAGUUAGAAGUGAAAUACCUAGAGCUUAACUCAGGUGCUGCUUCUAAAACUGCUAUACUUGAGUGCAGUAGAGGAAAGUGGAAUUCCUAGUGUAGCGGUGGAAUGCGUAGAUAUUAGGAGGAACAUCAGUGGCGAAGGCGACUUUCUGGACUGUAACUGACGCUGAGGCACGAAAGUGUGGGGAGCAAACAGGAUUAGAUACCCUGGUAGUCCACACUGUAAACGAUGGAUACUAGGUGUAGGAGGUAUCGACUCCUUCUGCGCCGAAGCUAACGCAUUAAGUAUCCCGCCUGGGGAGUACGGCCGCAAGGUUGAAACUCAAAGAAAUUGACGGGGACCCGCACAAGCAGCGGAGCAUGUGGUUUAAUUCGAAGCAACGCGAAGAACCUUACCAAGACUUGACAUCGUAUGACCGCCUAAGAGAUUAGGAAUUCCCUUCGGGGACAUAUAGACAGGUGGUGCAUGGUUGUCGUCAGCUCGUGUCGUGAGAUGUUGGGUUAAGUCCCGCAACGAGCGCAACCCUUAUAACUAGUUGCCAAUAUUAAGUUAGGAACUCUAGUUAGACUGCCGUGGAUAACACGGAGGAAGGUGGGGAUGACGUCAAAUCAUCAUGCCCCUUACGUCUUGGGCUACACACGUGCUACAAUGGCUAUUACAAAGAGCAGCGAGCUGGUAACAGUAAGCGAAUCUCAAAAAGAUAGUCUCAGUUCGGACUGUGGGCUGCAACCCGCCCACACGAAGUCGGAGUUGCUAGUAAUCCCGAAUCAGAAUGUCGGGGUGAAUGCGUUCUCGGGUCUUGUACACACCGCCCGUCACGCCAUGGGAGUUGGGAGUACCCAAAGUCGGUGAGUUAACCCGCAAGGGAGACAGCCGCCUAAGGUAAGACCAAUGACUGGGGUGAAGUCGUAACAAGGUAGCCGUAUCGGAAGGUGCGGCUG
rnacentral:rRNA from 1 species